rnacentral:rRNA from 1 species
AAGAAUUUAAAGGUCGAACAGACCUAUUAAUUGGGCUACUGCACCCAAUCAUUAUCUUAAUCCAACAUCGAGGUCGCAAGCCUUCCUGUAAAUUCGAGCUCUGGAGGAAGAUUACGCUGUUAUCCCUAAGGUAACUUAUUCUACUAAUCAAUAAUAAUGAAUCUAAAAAUCAUAAAUAAAGUAUAAUAAAUUAUAAAAGUUAAAUAUAUAUCUUUUGUCGCCCCAACAAAAAAGUCUAAUCAACAGCAGUAAAAAUGAAACACAACAGCCAUUAAAAUUGACCAUUAAAGCUCUAUAGGGUCUUCUCGUCUUCCAAAAGAAUUUGAGCCUUUUAACUCAAAAGCUAAAUUUUAACUUAUUUAAUUGAGACAGUUAGAGCCUCGUCAAGCCCUUCAUUCCAGCCCCCUAUUAAAAGACUAAUGAUUAUGCUACCUUUGCACGGUCAAAAUACCGCGGCCGUUAAAUAAUUAUCACCGGGCAGGCUUGACCUCAAAUAAU